UGCCAGCCGCCGCGGUAAAACCAGCACCUCAAGUGGUCAGGAUGAUUAUUGGGCCUAAAGCAUCCGUAGCCUGUUCUAUAAGUUUCCGGUUAAAUCCAUACGCUUAACGUAUGGGCUGCCGGAAAUACUGCAGAACUAGGGAGUGGGAGAGGUAGACGGUACUCGAUAGGAAGAGGUAAAAUUCUUUGAUCUAUUGAUGACCACCUGUGGCGAAGGCGGUCUACCAGAACACGUUCGACGGUGAGGGAUGAAAGCUGGGGGAGCAAACCGGAUUAGAUA
rnacentral:rRNA from 1 species